GAGUUUGGUGGUGCCGGGGGGGGAGGAGGAUGGGUCCACUCUGUGUCCUUCUCCUCGUCUGGUAACAGACUGGCCUGGGUCUCACACGACUCCACUGUUACUGUGGUGGAUGGUACCAAGGGAUCCACUCCGUCUCAGUUGAAGACUGAGUUCCUCCCUCUGCUCAGUGUUCUCUUCAUCUCUGAGAACAGCGUGGUGGCAGCGGGUCAUGACUGUUGUCCCAUGCUGUUCCGUUGUGAUGACGGAGGGUCCCUGACGUCUGUCUCUCUCUCCGUCUGUCUCUCUCUCCGUCUCUCUCCUCAGGGUCAUGACUGUUGUCCCAUGCUGUUCCGUUGUGAUGACGGAGGGUCCCUGACGUCUGUCUCUCUCUCCGUCUGUCUCUCUCUCCGUCUGUCUCUCCUCAGGGUCAUGACUGUUGUCCCAUGCUGUUCCGUUGUGAUGACGGGGGGUCCCUGACGUCUGUCUCUCUCUCCGUCUGUCUCUCCUCAGGGUCAUGACUGUUGUCCCAUGCUGUUCCGUUGUGAUGACGGAGGGUCCCUGACGUUUGUCUCCAAGCUGGACCUUCCUAAAGCCUCCAUCACUAGAAACAUCUCUGCUAUGGAGCGUUUCAGAAACAUGGACAAGAGAGCGACUACAGAGGACCGUAACACAGCCCUGGAGACACUGCACCAGAACUCCAUCACUCAGGUCUCUAUCUAUGAGGGAGACCAGCGGGACUGUCUGACCCUGUUAUAUUGUCUCUCCAGUCAGGUCUCUAUCUAUGAGGGAGACCAGAGGGACUGUCUGACCCUGUUAUAUUGUCUCUCCUCCAGUC